CGGGGUGAGUAAUGUCUGGGAAACUGCCUGAUGGAGGGGGGUAACUACUGGAAACGGUAGCUAAUACCGCAUAACGUCGCAAGACCAAAGAAGGGGACCUUCGGGCCUCUUGCCAUCGGAUGUGCCCAGAUGGGAUUAGCUAGUAGGUGGGGUAAUGGCUCACCUAGGCGACGAUCCCUAGCUGGUCUGAGAGGAUGACCAGCCACACUGGAACUGAGACACGGUCCAG
rnacentral:rRNA from 1 species